AGCCGGAGACGUGCGGGGCGGAGCCGCGGCGAGGAGCGGGGACUGAUACCAGGGGCGCCUGGUGCGAGGGCCCCUGUCCUCACCGGACCCCCUUUUUCAGAUGAGCAAUCCCCGACGGUCACAGUCGUAUAGUAGUAGGCUGUGCGAGUGAGACCUGGACUCGCUUCCUCUAAACCCUAUUCAGGGAUAAUUUUCAGAAAAAGGUGAAAUCGUAAUUCUCAUUCAGGUAUAACUAUGGACCAGCGCUAAAGACUGUUCUACUCAUUAAUCAGCGAAGAAACCAGACAGAUGUGACAACCAGUUCAAAAGGGAAUCGAAAAAGAAACCCGUUUACAGAUGGAUAAUAUUGAAACAAACGAGUAUGUCGGUGGAGACAGAACCAGUUUUUCCUCAGGGUGGAGACGAGGAAGACCACCCACCCGGACAGCUGCACGUGGUGAGCGGGCAGAGGAGGCAUCGUUUUCCACCCAAGCACACAUGUUUUCUACUUCCCCAAACCUGCCCUCUGCGGUAACUGCGGGGUCUCCCACGCACACAGGGCCUGGAGGAACCUCAGAGAUGGCACCUCCCAGCAUCUUGGGCUCAGAGGAGUUCAGGGUAAAUGUUACAGAACUGAGGCCUGAGCGGCAAGAAGCGAGGAGACGCUGGAAGUUUGAGCAGGGCCUGGGAGUCCGGACUCAAGGCUGGGCCCCACAGGGCGGAGUUUGGGCCAGCCUGAGGCACGCGUCACCCAGCCCCCAACACCCCUGGGUGCAGCUGCUGUGCGUGCCUUGUUGGAUGGGCCUCCUUAUUAUGGUUGCAGACUUUGAACUUUAUGGGCCCCAAGCUUCCAUACACGCUGAGUGGGAAGAUGACUAAGCUGUGGAAUAUGGUUCCUGGCCAUGCUGCAGGGAGAAUGGGCCGCUUGGGAGUUGGAGGCAGUGACCCAGGGUGGGGACAGAUUGCAAAGCCCUGGGAAGUUUUCAGUGAGAAAGAGGAGCAGAGCCACAGAGUUCAGUGUGGCUGCGCUCAUGGGAGCACAGAUGACACGGAGUCUUUGUCUGCAUUCAACCAGGUGUUCCCAAGUGCUCACCUGCAGUGUGGUGGCGAAAAUUAAUAAACUUUUCAUCCUAAGAAUUAAACAUGGUUCUUAGAGAUACUUUAAACAUCCCCUGGGCCUUCUUUGCUCCUCUCCGCAGUAUUGGCCUCUGGUCUAGGGGCUCCGGAAGGUACAGGUCACCUUGCACACCCUCCCUAGGACAGGGGAGAGUCAUUGCAGCCUGUGCAUUGGCCCCUGCUUGCUGCCUACCUGGCAGCCCCUGCGGCUCCUGGGAACCAGAACAAGCCUGGAGGUCCCCAUGUGUGCCUUGAGCUCUCACUGUCACCCCGUUUGGGGCUUCAGACCCCUCUGAGGCCUGGCUAGGACUCUUUAAACCCUAACCUUUCAGGGUUUCCAGAUAAAAUACAGGACACCAUUAAAUUUCGAUUCCAGGAAGAGAAGCCCCAUGUUUUAGCUGGCUAUGGCUGCCCUGAUGAAGAUAACGUCCCCAGCAGCCCCUACUGCUCAGAGGGGCCGAGCAAGCAAGCUCUGGCUUGCCAGACAAGGAUGGAAGUGACGGGUACAAUUCUGACUGCACCUGCAAAACAGAGGGGAGCGCCCUCUACUUUUUCUUCCCUGCUUCCUACUGGCUGCAGAUCAACACAAAGGAGUCGAGUUGCUAAUAGUUAUCUUAUGAAUAGUUUUCAGUUUUAAGUCACUAACAAACUGCCAUCUCAAGGGGCGCUCCGGCUGGCGUUCCCCCCCCAGCACCCGGUGAGUACAGGGAGACACUCCCACAACAUCUUAUAGAUACAAGGAACUUCAGGAUUUUUUGCUGACUCGUGGGUGCAUGUAGGUGUCUCACUGCUGUUUUAACUUGAGUUGCAAACUUCCAGUGUUGGUCGGCCGCUUGGAAAUGGGUUCUGUCUUCCAUGACAGUCCUGUUGGGACUUUCCCCAUUCCUUCUGGGUGGUCUUCUCUAACCCAUAUGUAGGCGUCUGUCAUGUAUUGUGGCUGCUACUAUUUUACCCCUUACAUACAGAAAUGGAGCAAAUUCGUGUGCUGCUUACCUUUGAACUGGUAUCUUGUGGUACGGGUGGUUUUUUUUGAUAUGGUCCCUUUUAUAAACAUUGUCCUUUAUGGCUUGGCUGUUUCCUCCUGUUCAGGAGGGCUGCCCUGACUUUAAGGCCACAGAAACGUUAUUCUGCAUUUUUAGCUAAUAACUGUCAAGUUUAGUUGUCUUUGUUUUGUUUAUUUGUUUUGCUUUUUUACAUAUAUGACUUUCAGAUGCCUUUUGAGGGUAGUUGUUCAGUAUUGCAUCUUCCUUCUUGGUCAUUAUCUAUUCAGAUUUUUCUCUUUCUUCCUAGGCCAGUUUUGCUAAUAAAUGUUUUCUUAGAAAAGUGUCCAUUUCACCCAGGUUUUCAAAUGUGAGGUAUUAAAUUGUUUCUGACCAUAUUUUUUCAUCUCUUGGUUAUGACCCCUCUUUAAUUCCAAUUUUAUUUGUCUGUGUAUUCUUUUUUCUUGGUGCUUUUUGCUGAAGGACUAUUUUAUUUGUCCUCUCAAAACACAAGCAUUUUGUUUUGUUCUGUUUUCUGUUUGUUUUCUGUGUCCUUGAUCUCUGUUUUUAUUUUCUUUCCCCUUAUUUUCUUUGGAUUUAUUUUGUUGCUCUUUUCUGCUUUCAAAGUGGACAAUUUGGUUCACCUAUUUUUAAAUCUCUCUCAUUUCGUAUGAAUGCAGUUGAGAGGAUGCCCUGGCCUCUGGGAAUGGCUUGCCCUGUAUCCGCGGGCUUGGGCCUCCACCACUCCCACGAUGAUCAAGUUCUAAAUACUUUGCUGUUGUGUUAGUUCCUCCCUCCCUCAUCCAAAACAGGCCUCAGUUUUGCUGCAGGAGAAUUCAUUGGCCUUUAUUUGCUGUUAUACUUAGUGUUUUUGUAUAUUUCUCAAAAUGUAUGUCCCAACCCCAAACUCAUCCUCCCUUACUACCUAGAAGCUUCUUUGUUCUGCCUUCACGUUCAGAUCCACGCUGAACAGGGACUAGAUUUUGUUUACCAGGUGAGGGAGGAGGCCGCGUCUUAUUUCUCCUCAAACAGACCCCCAGCAUCUGGUUUCGGAAAGACUUCCAUCACCCAGUUCUCUGCAACUCCUUUCUGGAAAAUCGA